GCCCUUAUAGCUCAGUGGUAGAGCGCAGCACUUGUAAUUCUCCUUUACAAGUCCAUGCUGAGGUCCAUCGUUCAAUCCGGUGUGGGGGCA